CCGUCCUUCUUUGAUCUGCGUUGAACAGCUAGUGUGGAGUUGAAUCCCUUGGCUUUCACCAUGAUGUCCAUCCAUCCACAUGCCGCAGAGGUCUGAUGGCUCGGAUGUGUUUGACCGUGUUUUCAGAAGGAUGAGUUGAGUGAACAACUGGUGAAGAUUUCCUUUGGUCGGUAGUUGUGCUAGGAUGAUCUGAAUGACGGCAGUAUGCCGCCUCGCAGAUGGCAGUGAGAUGGGAUCACUUCCUGAGAAGUCUAGUAAGCUGAAGGUGGAGAUGACAUGGGAUCUCUGGAACGGGGCGAUUCAAGGCCAGGUGUGAUCUUCACCUGGACCUGAAGGAUGCAAGAUGACCGCUGUAGCGGUUCUGUGUGAUUGCAAGUGGACUGGACUGUGUGAACAGGCUUUAGGCAGUUUUCUGUUUUAAUAAAACUCAUAAUCUAGAAGUUUAA